rnacentral:rRNA from 1 species
CCCAGACAGCCAGGAUGUUGGCUUAGAAGCAGCCAUCAUUUAAAGAAAGCGUAAUAGCUCACUGGUCGAGUCGGCCUGCGCGGAAGAUGUAACGGGGCUAAACCAUGCACCGAAGCUGCGGCAGCGACACUGUGUGUUGUUGGGUAGGGGAGCGUUCUGUAAGCCUGUGAAGGUGGCCUGUGAGGGUUGCUGGAGGUAUCAGAAGUGCGAAUGCUGACAUAAGUAACGAUAAAGCGGGUGAAAAGCCCGCUCGCCGGAAGACCAAGGGUUCCUGUCCAACGUUAAUCGGGGCAGGGUGAGUCGACCCCUAAGGCGAGGCCGAAAGGCGUAGUCGAUGGGAAACGGGUUAAUAUUCCCGUACUUGGUGUUACUGCGAAGGGGGGACGGAGAAGGCUAUGUUGGCCGGGCGACGGUUGUCCCGGUUUAAGCGUGUAGGUGUGUGUUCCAGGUAAAUCCGGUUCACUUUAACACUGAGGCGUGA